UACAGAGGUCUCAAGCGUUGUUCGGAUUCAUUGGGCGUAAAGGGCGCGUAGGCUGUGGGGCAAGUCGGGUGUGAAAUCUCAGAGCUCAACUCUGAAACUGCACUCGAUACUGCUCUGCUUGAGGACUGGAGAGGAGACUGGAAUUCACGGUGUAGCAGUGAAAUGCGUAGAUAUCGUGAGGAAGACCAGUGGCGAAGGCGGGUCUCUGGACAGUUCCUGACGCUGAGGCGCGAAGGCCAGGGGAGCAAACGGG
rnacentral:rRNA from 1 species